rnacentral:misc_RNA from 1 species
AAACAUAUAAUUUCAUAGGAAUUCAUAUAGUAAUGCAUUCCAGCAGCUGCUUGAAUGAAACACCCUUUAGAAAAAAAUAAUGAAGUCAUUAGCAAAUCUUAUUCAUGUCUUUCUGCAAUAUUCAUCAAAGAAAUAUUGCAUAGUCAAAGGAAGCAAAGGAAAACUAGUUCAAAUCAAUUUGUGAUAAAGCAAACCUCUCGAACAUCCUCAAGAAAAGA